ensembl:lncRNA
CCGCCGGCCCCGCAGACCUCCCCACGCGCGGCUCGGGCCCCGGGCGCCGCGCGGGGUUGGCUCAGAGCCAAAGUCGCGUUCCCCGCUGCCCCCUCUCCCGGCUUCUGUCUUCUUGCUGGCCGGCCGCGGGGUCUCUGUAAGGCUCCGCCUGACUGCCCCGGGCUUCCCCUUGCUGCGGGGAGGACGGCGGCGCUUCCGGGAGGGCCGUGACCGCGGGGCGGGCCUGGCGCCCGGGGCCGCGGCUUCUCCCCCGCCGGCGCGCACCGCCCACUUGCGGGAGCCUUUCCUCCGGCUGCCGCGCCCUCGCCGCGCGCCUUCCAGGGCCGGUUCUCCCCAUCCCGGCUGCGUCAGGCUUUAUCGAAAAUGCGUCUUUGCUCGCCUCUCCUGCCUACGGAGUGGGCCGUGCGCUCCACGCUCUAUGAAGUCAUUACUCCCAGUCGUUACUAAGCUGCUCCCCCUGUGGCCCUAUGAAAGAUUCUCUCUGGGCCGGAGGCCCUGUUACCCUCAUUUUUGUGACCUGGAACGUGCAGAGGCUCCAUACACCCCGGGGAGACGGAGGGGAGAGAGUGAUCCCGCCUCCCACCCUUUUGGGGGACCUCACGAGUAUCCUCUGUUUGCUGUUUCAUUAUGCAAAACGCGGUCUCGUUUCGACAAGCUCGAUAGAAGCUUUCACGUUUUCAGGUUGCUGUAGAUCCGUUAACUCCUUGGGCUUCUGAAGGGAAGCCCACCCUGCGAGUUGGCUUUGGUCCGGGUCUAGCAUGUCACCCUAUUAAGGCUCAGCGAGCGCAAUGCCAAAGGCCAGAUGGCUCCAGCCCAGACUUGACCCUGGGGCUCGGUGCCGCCAGCCCAGCUCUGGAGGUGGCCUGUGUCCCCAUCUCCUACGCCUGCCACAUGGUUCUCAACCAAAAUCUCAGGAAAAUGGUAAAAGAGGGAAGAGGUGGAUGCCCAGCUUCUAUUUAAUUCUCUUCCAGAUUCUUCCUGGGCCCUGCCUGGCACAAGAGGUAUUGCUUAAGAAGGAGGCUCAUUUAAUGGAUGUUCAGUUACAUCCAAUGUUUGCCGGAGAAUAUUCCAGAGGGCAGAUGCCUGAAUCAUCAUGCAGCCAAUGCAGGCCAGAAGGACGGAUAAUAGUGAAACGGCACUGGACUGGGCCUCUGGGUCAAGUUCCCUUCUCGGUUAUGCCAACAAGGCUAUUAUACUCUGUACUCUCAAUGAGAGCAGUACUCUCUGGGCCUGAUUUUGCCCCCAGAAAAAUGAGGAUCUCAGUGGUGAGACUGAAAUGGGGUCCCCCUGGAGGCAAGACAGCAGACAAAGAGGAUGGCCAAAGCAGGGGCUUGAUCAACACAUGA